AUACGUAGGUGGCAAGCGUUGUCCGGAUUUAUUGGGCGUAAAGGAUGCGUAGGUGGAUAUUUAAGUCAGAUGUGAAAACCCCGAGCUUAACUUGGGGACUGCAUUUGAAACUGGGUAUCUAGAGUGCAGGAGAGGAAAGUAGAAUUCCUAGUGGAGUGGUGAAAUGCGUAGAGAUUAGGAAGAAUACCAGUGGCGAAGGCGGCUUUCUGGACUGUAACUGACACUGAGGCAUGAAAGCGUGGGGAGCAAACAGGAUUAGAUACCCUGGUAGUCCACGCUGUAAAUGAUGAGUAUUAGGUGUAGGAGGUAUCAACUCCUUCUGUGCCGUAAAUUAACACGUUAAAUACUCCGCCUGGGGACUACGAUCGCAAGAUUAAA
rnacentral:rRNA from 1 species